rnacentral:rRNA from 1 species
AUUGAACGCUGGCGGCAGGCCUAACACAUGCAAGUCGAACGGUAACAGGAAGAAGCUUGCUUCUUUGCUGACGAGUGGCGGACGGGUGAGUCAUGUCUGGGAAACUGCCUGAUGGAGGGGGAUAACUACUGGAAACGGUAGCUAAUACCGCAUAACGUCGCAAGACCAAAGGGGGGGACCUUCGGGCCUCUUGCCAUCGGAUGUGCCCAGAUGGGAUUAGCUAGUAGGUGGGGUAACGGCUCACCUAGGCGACGAUCCCUAGCUGGUCUGAGAGGAUGACCAGCCACGCUGGAACUGAGACACGGUCCAGACUCCUACGGGAGGCAGCAGUGGGGAAUAUUGCACAAUGGGCGCAAGCCUGAUGCAGCCAUGCCGCGUGUAUGAAGAAGGCCUUCGGGUUGUAAAGUACUUUCAGCGGGGAGGAAGGGAGUAAAGUUAAUACCUUUGCUCAUUGACGUUACCCGCAGAAGAAGCACCGGCUAACUCCGUG